GUGGGGAAUAUUGGACAAUGGGCGCAAGCCUGAUCCAGCCAUGCCGCGUGAGUGAUGAAGGCCUUAGGGUUGUAAAGCUCUUUCAGUGGGGACGAUAAUGACGGUACCCACAGAAGAAGCCCCGGCUAACUUCGUGCCAGCAGCCGCGGUAAUACGAAGGGGGCUAGCGUUGUUCGGAUUUACUGGGCGUAAAGCGCACGUAGGCGGAUCGUUAAGUCGGGGGUGAAAUCCUGGAGCUCAACUCCAGAACUGCCGUCGAUACUGGUGAUCUUGAGGACGGAAGAGGUGAGUGGAACUCCUAGUGUAGAGGUGGGAUUCGUAGAUAUUAGGAAGAACACCAGUGGCGAAGGCGGCUAACUGGUGCGGUACUGACGCUGAGGUGCGAAAGCGUGGGGAGCAAACAGGAUUAGAUACCCUUGUAGUCC
rnacentral:rRNA from 1 species